CACAAUUGCAAAAACACCCCUGCAGUUCGACCAUUCAAAAUCUGUCACUGCGUACCGGUACACGGUCCCGUGUACCAGUACACAUCCCACGAAAAUGCCAAACCCAAGCCUCGAGUUGGCUGGGAAGCUGCCUGUGUACCGGUAUACGAACCCGUACCCGUACAACCAUCAACCCUGUACCGAAACAGCCAUCAACCCUGUACCGGUACACAGCCUGCUGAAGGCUACCCGAGAGCUGACCAAAAAUCCGACUUUU
rnacentral:lncRNA from 1 species